rnacentral:rRNA from 1 species
GAUGAACGCUGGCGGCGUGCCUAAUACAUGCAAGUCGAGCGAAGCGGGGACGGGGGAGUAACACGUGGAUACCCUCCUAUAAGACUGGGGUAACUUCGGGAAACCGGAGCUAAACCGGAUACUUAUAGUUGCAUCCGGGCUGCAUUAGCUAGUUGGUAAGGUAACGGCUGACCAAGCAAACGAUGCAUAGCCGACCGGAGAGAGGGAUCGGCAAAACUGGAACUGGGACACGGUCCAGACUCCUACGGGAGGCAGCAGUGGGGAAGCUUCCGCAAUGGGCGAAAGCCGGAGAGAGCAACGCCGCGUGAGUGAUGAAGGUCUUCGGAUCGUAAAACUCGUUUAUUAGGGAAGCGGUACCUAAACAGAAAGCCACGGCUAACUACGUGCCAGCCGCCGCGGUAAUAC